rnacentral:lncRNA from 1 species
GCCUUACCCAUUAUGCCUAGCUGGCAAGGACAGGGAAACAUGUGACCUUCCACCAGGGAGUAAAUUACAGCUAAGCAAGUCCAUUUGAGGAGGCAGUGUCUUUAGACAAAUAGCCUGACACUCCACAGAUGGAAACAAACCUGGGAACCUUGGCUGGGUUUUCUGAUGGGCAUCUGAAGCUUCAUUGAAGGGCAGGAUCUGAGAGCCGGAGGGGCAGACCACACUUGGCUUCAUGUGAAAGCCUUUAUGAGCAGUUGACUGAGGAAGAAAAAUCUUGACCUGGUUUACAGAUGGCUCCGCACAAUAUGGAGUCACCACCUCAAAGUGGACAUCUGUACCACUAGAGCCCUUCCUGAGACAUCUCUGACAGUAGGGAAGGUGAACUUCCUGGUAGGCAAAACUUUGAGAGAGGGAAUUGAGAAGUGAAUGGAGGCUUGGAUGCAGGCACUCACGGAGAACUCUCAGAGUGAAAAGAAAGCAACCAGGUAAAGGAAUCAUAGAAGGAGGAAGAAUACUUCCUGGAAGUUUCAUGAAUAUGCGCCUGAUGCUUUCACUCCAUAAACCUUCAUGUCCGGCUCCCAAUGAGCCAUGCCUCAUCUCACCAGCUGGACUCAUUAUGUGUGUUUUAAGUGGCUGAAUCAUCGCCUUUUCUCCCUCUCACAUUACUUCACAAACACUAAAAGGCAGAAUUGUCUUCUUUCCCAUGAUCUAGUCUCAUGUCUCAUAGCAAAGUAAUACCCAUUGAACUAAAAUAGCUGUCAACUUGCUAAUAAAUAAGAAGUAUUAAACUAAACUCACACUAAUGGAGCUGUGUAGGGGUGACAAGGUAUUCAGAGCCAGUCAAGCGUCCCAGCAGCUCACUCCUGAGGGCGCCACUUCAUAAACAGAGGCAUUGAUGGGCAUCCCUGAACGCCGGGGGCUUCCCAAUUCCCACAUGUCAUGAACAAGUGAGGACAGAUAUUAAUUGGAAUGGUACUUGAUAUCACCAUCAGAGUUAAACAAACUUGCCA